AUUGAACGCUGGCGGCAGGCCUAACACAUGCAAGUCGAGCGGUAGAGAGGUGCUUGCACCUCUUGAGAGCGGCGGACGGGUGAGUAAUGCCUAGGAAUCUGCCUGGUAGUGGGGGAUAACGAUCGGAAACGGACGCUAAUACCGCAUACGUCCUACGGGAGAAAGCAGGGGACCUUCGGGCCUUGCGCUAUCAGAUGAGCCCAGGUCGGAUUAGCUAGUUGGUGAGGUAAUGGCUCACCAAGGCGACGAUCCGUAACUGGUCUGAGAGGAUGAUCAGUCACACUGGAACUGAGACACGGUCCAGACUCCUACGGGAGGCAGCAGUGGGGAAUAUUGGACAAUGGGCGAAAGCCUGAUCCAGCCAUGCCGCGUGUGUGAAGAAGGUCUUCGGAUUGUAAAGCACUUUAAGUUGGGAGGAAGGGUCGUUACCUAAUACGUGACGAUUUUGACGUUACCGACAGAAUAAGCACCGGCUAACUCUGUGCCAGCAGCCGCCGUAA
rnacentral:rRNA from 1 species